rnacentral:rRNA from 1 species
UACAGAGGGGGCAAGCGUUAUCCGGAUUCACUGGGUUUAAAGGGUGCGUAGGUGGGCAAGUAAGUCAGUGGUGAAAUCUCCGGGCUUAACCCGGAAACUGCCAUUGAUACUAUUUGUCUUGAAUACUGUGGAGGUCAGCGGAAUAUGUCAUGUAGCGGUGAAAUGCUUAGAUAUGACAUAGAACACCAAUUGCGAAGGCAGCUGGCUACACAAAUAUUGACACUGAGGCACGAAAGCGUGGGGAUCAAACAGG